GGGGAUGUGGCUCAGUGGUAGAGCAUAUGCUUUGCAUGCAUGAAGCCCCAGGUUCAAUUCCUGGCAUCUCCA